GAACCUAGUACAUGCGUUUUCAUGGCUUUUCGCCAUUUUCCCUUUCUAUUUCUUCCUCCUUUAUUUCUUCCGUCUGCAACUUUCCAUACCCUUUUUUUUCUGAUGAGAUGACAAGAUGUAUUCGGCCUAUUAUCUGAGACUAAUCCUUGUUCCGACUAUCGGAUUGGCCCUAGGCACAAGAUGACUUUGUACUUUAAAUACUGAAAGCUGUCCUCCCUCUGAACCCCAUGAAGAAGAAAGCACAUAGAGGUGAGAAAUGGCUGAGUUUCACCCUCCAGUGGUUUGCUUUCUCUUGAUUGUAAACUGCCUACUCGGUUUCCAUUGCCGAGUAGCUUCUGGUCAGCCAAGAUCUUGGGUUGGUGGAAGUCCUUUGUCGCCGGCACAGUCCUGGGCUCUCCCGGGCCAGACUCCGUCGAUGACUCUGAGGCCCCCUCCACCAAGGCGGUGAUUCUACGUACACCUACUUUGUGAUGCAAGAGUGGCUUACGUAUCCAAUAGCUAUAGCUGGUCCUGCCUAAAGAUGCCGAUUUUGCAAUUUGCACUCAAAUAGAUGGCCUUUGGCUAGUUCUGAUGAAUUUCAUGCCUCCUGUACCUCUUUAUUCGUGUAUGGUCAUUGAUGUUAGCCAUGAUUUCCAAAGGGAAAUUCAUCAGAUUUUUUGCCUACGUAUAGAUUCGACUGGUCAUGUUAAAUCAUAAAUAAAUUCUGCAUUGUGUUGCGCUAUAA